rnacentral:rRNA from 1 species
GGGGUUAUUAUUAAACCUUUUUUUCGAGGUGUGGCUCGCACCUGUCCAACUAAACUUGAGCUACCUUUUUUCAACACGGUUGCAUCGGUCGGCCUGUCAAACAGUGCGACGCAAGGAGAAAAUCCUCGCGUCUGCUGGGCGACGGACGGACAAUUUUAUUUAACACUUUUGGAUGAUCUAGGAUUUGAAGGAGAAAAAGUCAUUUUUACGAAUGAAAUCGACUGGUAAUGCGGUCGUCUAAUUUUAAAAACAACUUUUGGCAACGGAUCUCUUGGUUCUCCCAUCGAUGAAGAACGCAGCGAAUUGCGAUAAGUAAUGUGAAUUGCAGAAGUGAAUCAUCGAAUCUUUGAACGCACCUUGCGCUCCCGGCAGAUCUAAUCUGGGGAGCAUGCCUGUUUGAGGGCCGCGAAUUGUUUCGAACGACAGCUUUUUUCUUUUGGAAAAGGUUGACGGAUCGGUAUUGAGGGUUUUUGCCAUUUACCGUGGCUCCCUCGAAAUAGAUUAGCGCAUCCAUUUUAUAGGCAAGACGGACGAAAGCUCGAUUUUUGCUCUCUCUUCCCUGCCGGGUUUUGAUACUAUCAGGACUUCGGAGAGGUUGAGAUGGGUAGGAGCUGGACGCAACGGCUUGCUGUUUGGAGUGCUUCUGAAACCCGCCCAUGCCGAGUUUUUUAGGAAGCUAGGAAGGGAUUUAUAAUAAUUCAUCGGCCUCAGAUUGGUAGGACUACCCGCUGAACUUAAGCAUAUCAAUAAGCGGAGGAAAAAGA